AAAGACUGACGCUCAUGCACGAAAGCGUGGGGAUCAAACAGGAUUAGAUACCCUGGUAGUCCACGCUGUAAACGAUGAUCACUCGUUGUUGGCGAUAUACUGUCAGCGACUGAGCGAAAGCAUUAAGUGAUCCACCUGGGGAGUACGGCGGCAACGUUGAAACUCAAAGGAAUUGACGGGGGCCCGCACAAGCGGAGGAGCAUGUGGUUUAAUUCGAUGAUACGCGAGGAACCUUACCUGGGCUUAAAUGUAGGACGACGUUUCGUGAAAGCGGAAUUUCCUUCGGGACGUCUUACAAGGUGCUGCAUGGUUGUCGUCAGCUCGUGCCGUGAGGUGUCGGGUUAAGUCCCAUAACGAGCGCAACCCCUAUCAUUAGUUGCCAUCAGGUAAUGCUGGGAACUCUAAUGAAACUGCCUACGCAAGUAGUGAGGAAGGUGGGGAUGACGUCAAAUCAGCACGGCCCUUAUGUCCAGGGCGACACACGUGCUACAAUGGCCAGUACAGAGGGUUGCAAA
rnacentral:rRNA from 1 species